rnacentral:rRNA from 1 species
AUUGAACGCUGGCGGCAUGCCUUACACAUGCAAGUCGAACGGCAGCAUAGGAGCUUGCUCCUGAUGGCGAGUGGCGAACGGGUGAGUAAUAUAUCGGAACGUGCCCUAGAGUGGGGGAUAACUAGUCGAAAGACUAGCUAAUACCGCAUACGAUCUACGGAUGAAAGUGGGGGAUCGCAAGACCUCAUGCUCCUGGAGCGGCCGAUAUCUGAUUGGCUAGUUGGUGGGGUAAAAGCCUACCAAGGCAACGAGCAGUAGCUGGUCUGAGAGGACGACCAGCCAAUAUGGGACUGAGACACGGCCGAGAAUCCUACGGGAGGAAGCAGUGGGGAAUUUUGGACAAUGGGGGCAACCCUGAUCCAGCAAUGCCGCGUGAGUGAAGAAGGCCUUCGGGUUGUAAAGCUCUUUUGCCAGGGAAGAAACGGUAGUAGAGAAUAUCUAUUACUAAUGACGGUACCUGAAGAAUAAGCACCGGCUAACUACGUGCCAGCCGCCGCAGUAA